rnacentral:sRNA from 1 species
GCGCGUUGCCUAGGGUUCACUCGGGCGAGCGAUAAGGUGGGCGGUUCGAGUCUUGGGAGAAGAUAUUUUAUUUUUAUUUUUGGACAGAGUCCGAGGCCUAGCCCAGGUUUCUCCGGACUUUACUGUUUCGUCCAUACCACUUCGAACCUCUGUCAGGUUCUGUAGGCCACGUCAAAACGCUAGGCUUUUUCCUGUGAGAAAACAGAGUCUUACUUUUAGCUCCACCUGGCUUGUGUAGUCCGGUUGCUUAGUAUUUGGACGGAAAAGUCAUUCUAAUAAAGGGAGACAACUUUCCUUUUUGGGCUGUUGUUUAAAAACUUAGCUUUUAAAAUACUUGAUAUCUGUAAGAGAUAAGACCUGAACACGGAAGAGCCAUCCAAAGGUUUUAGGAAUAGAACAUUGUCAGUAUUGAUACAAUUACUAGUGUCUUCUGACCCCAGCUCACUACCUUUCCCCAGAUUUAACACUGGCCCUUUGGGUUUAUACUCUUGCUUUAUAAAAGACUUAGUUCAUAUACUGUAGGCUUAUUUUUUAAAGUGAGAAACAGGGAUAAUCUGCUGUUACAGGGGGUUGCUUUUAGUUCGGCAUAGAUUCUGAGUUUGCAGACAGUUGCAUGUAGCUCACUUUUAUUUUAAUGAUACAUAUCCAGAAUUCUUUCUUUUGACAGUUAAGCUCCAAACCCUGCCCUUUGUCACAAUUAUUCUUAUAGUUAACCCACAAAACCCAUGUUUUGCCAUUGUUGAUCAACACUCGUGAACAUCUAUACACACAGGUUCUUGCAUUUACAUGGGGUUUCUAGCAUAUAGCUCAUCCAGGAAAAACGUUGUUAAACUGUUUUGGUUUUAAUGUAACACCUUUGAUAAUUAUAUCCAUCUUGAUCAUCUCACCUGAAAGCUGUUGGUUGCAUUUUAUUUUGAUAGUUGUCCACACUUUCCCAGCUAUUUGGCACUGUAUAAUCACUGGGGUUUUUUUUUUCCCUGGAUUUUUAUCUUGGGUAAUGUAGAAUUUUUAUUUUCUUUUAGCAAGCAAUCCUUUGGUUGUCAUCACAGGCUCAGUCUUGGCGUCCCUGAUCAGACACUUGGGGACAGACGAAGAUAUACCAGGGAAGAAGAGAUACCUGUGACAGGGGAUCACACCAUCAAUGGGGAGAAGACCAAGGAGCCAGCAAGUGAAUGAGGUAAACUUAAACUGUGCGUUUCUGGUUCUAUCUUAUUCCAUGGAGUGACAUAUGACUUUAUUUUCAUUUUGUUGGCCAAAGGAAAUCACAGGACUGUGCUGUGAUAAGUAAGUGCAGUCCUUAGUGUCUGGGAACAGUAAUUUCCAUGGGCACGGUUGAGAACUAUGCUAACCAAUUAGUUGCCUAGUACCAUCCCCCAAAAUAUACAUACAAGCAAUAUUAUACAGACUGAGCAGGUUAUAUAUUUAUGAAUAUGUAUGUAUACAUAUUGUUUUAAUCAAGGCUCUCUAGAGU